rnacentral:rRNA from 1 species
UGGGGAAUAUUGGUCAAUGGGUGCAAGCCUGAACCAGCCAUCCCGCGUGAAGGACGACUGCCCUAUGGGUUGUAAACUUCUUUUGUAUAGGGAUAAACCUACCCUCGUGAGGGUAGCUGAAGGUACUAUACGAAUAAGCACCGGCUAACUCCGUGCCAGCAGCCGCGGUAAUACGGAGGGUGCAAGCGUUAUCCGGAUUUAUUGGGUUUAAAGGGUCCGUAGGCGGACUUAUAAGUCAGUGGUGAAAGCCUGUCGCUUAACGAUAGAAUUGCCAUUGAUACUGUAAUCCUUGAUUAUAUUUUAGGUAGCAGGAAUAAGUAGUGUAUCGGUGAAAUGCAUAGAUAUUACUU